UUGAAUCCGCCCCGGCACUUAUUACAGUGUGGCACACAGCAGUCCAUCCUGGCAAUAGGAAAGGGAAAACUGGUUUAAUGAUGCUGCCCAGCCUAGCACACGUAGAAGAUCACUUGGUCCCACCAACUGGAAGACAGAAGGAACGCAGAAGAUGGGAAAGCAGCUCCAACUUAGCCCCGUUUAUGUCUGAGUCAAGCCAUGAGGAAUACUGGCAGAAGUUACUCAGGAGCCCACCACUCUGGAAGAUAGGGGCAGGGAAAAGCCGUCACUGUCUCCCUUCCUCUCCCUGAAGGUACGG